AUUGAACGCUGGCGGCAUGCCUAACACAUGCAAGUCGAACGAGUGGCGGGCGGGUGAGUAAUGUCUGGGAACCUGCUCGCUGGAGGUGGAUAACUACUGGAGACGGUAACUAAUACCGCCUACCGUCCGAUUGGCCCCGAUGGGAUUAGCUAGUGGGGGGGGUAACGGCUCACCUAGGCGACGAUCCCUAGCUGGUCUGAGAGGAUGACCAGCCACACUGGAACUGAGACACGGCCCAGACUCCUACGGGAGGCAGCAGUGGGGAAUAUUGGACAAUGGGCGAAAGCCUGAGGCAGCCAUGCCGCGUGUAUGAAGAAGGCCUUCGGGUUGUAAAGUACUUUAAGCGAGGAGGCGGUACCCGCAGAAGAAGCACCGGCUAACUACGUGCCAGCAGCCGCGGUAAUAC
rnacentral:rRNA from 1 species